GCCCCGGAGGACAUGGCGGCGGCGCCGGGCGGCCAGGCGGCGGGGCGGGAUGGGGGCCGCGAAGCCCAAGCCUGGGCGCCGCCCCGGGGCGGGGAAGCAGCUACGCCCGCCCGCCUUCCGUGCGCUCCCCGCGCCUCGGAUGGCGUAGAGCACAGGGGGAAACUUUCCAACAAGGGGAAAGGAGGCCACGCACACGUGGAAUGACCGAAUGAAUGGAGAAGGCUCUUGUGAAUAACAGAAGAUACAAAGCUGUUAAAACUGGAAGUCACAGAAAACCUCAAAAAGAGACAGAAGUUUGUGACAAAAGGUGGGGUAGGCACAUGCCUGGCUGGAAUGAGGCCCCUGAUAGGACUGUGAAGGCAGGAGAAGAAACUCAGAAGAGUUAAUCAACAGUACUUCCGGUGGUUAUGAAAUGCAAAGAAAAGGAUGCAGUGGCGUCUGAAGCAGCAAGUGGGCUGAAACUGACAUUUGUUACAGAAAUUCGGAAACGGCUAGGUUUUAUGAGAGGAGUAAAGAACAAAGAUGAGUUUGGCUUAGGAGAAACUACAUCAACUGCACUACCAUGUGCCUCUAGGCUGUAAAAAAUGUUUAGUGGCACAAUGCUGAUGUGAGAGACAUUUGCAUAGCACAAUGACAGCUGAAGAAAUGAGAUUCUAACUAGAAGUGGCUGUGGGGUUGCCCACAGUGAGGGGUCACACAAUGUAUACUUUAUGUGUCAGCCAUGAAGUAGCAAAAAAGUCCAGGGGUGUGCCCCAUCUCCUUCCCUCAAGCCCGCACAAGCCCACCUCCUCUGCCCACCUCUGUAUGAAACACUAUGAUGGACUUUUGCACUCUUCUUGGAGAGUAGUCUGGCUUGAAACAACCAGGUUUUAGCAUACAGCCUCCUUCAGUGAUGCAUGGACUAGCAGGCUAGAUGCCACUUGUAAUUAAGGAGGACUGACCAUCUGUGCUUCGCUUUAUACUUGACCACAAUAUCUUCUCAUCGACUAUUUUUGAUCGAUUUUCAUCGAUCAUGGAACUUCAGAGUGGAGAAGCCUUGAGAUAAUGUAGUCCACCCUCAACUUUAGAGAUGAGGAAAUAAGUGUCCUUCAGUAAAUGUAAGCCUUGAACUAGCAAGCAGCUGAUUACUCUGUUGUCUCUGAAAGUUUGUUCUUUCCUGAGUUGUCUCAGCUUCUUCACCUUGUACUGAAAGGCACAAGGGGCAGCCAGUUGCUUUUAAAACAGUGCCAACACUACAGAGCAUCAUCACUUGUUCACUCUACCACAGUACCUUGCAUAAGAACUUUGAAGCACAGUUAUUUUUCUGAGAGAAGAAGAGAGAAGAAUCAUAAUCCUUCUGUUAAGGAGAGUCCAUUCAUCUUGACCCAUGCAGUUGCCAUGAUUGAAAAAAAACUAACAGAACUUUUACCAAAUGAACAGGCUAUUGCUGGGGGCAAUUCCAGGAAUGACAUUUCUAGAAAGUCAGGAAGAAAUGCAGCAACCUAGUAGG